AGGUGCUACAAUUUAAACGAGUUCGUUUUUUCCAGCUAGAUCGCUAUAACAAAUCGCGGUUUGAGUAGAAUUAUUCGGCCGCUACAUGGCGUUGUGAGCCACGAGAAACGAAACACAGUGUAUUGCAUUGGUCUCCUUGAACAACGAGCUUCACGCUGUUCCCUGCGUUCCGGAUGCGAGAAAUGAUCUCAUCCCUCGUCGCGAUCUCCACAUUGAUGCCAUCGAUCUCGAUCAAACGAUCUCCGGGGAACAAACGAGUGGACGACUCCUCUCCCGCAUCAGAUGCCUGCAUUGAUGCUCCUGAAGAGGAAGAUUUUUAAAAAAAGGUUCGGCAAAAUACACAGUUCGUGUGACUUCUUGUCCGUCAAUCAUUUCUAUGACAGCGGAUCUUCGAAGAGAAACGCCAAAAUCCCCUGCUUCCCUUUUCUUUAGUGUAACCUUGGAAAAAGAGGACAUUUCAAGAUUAUUUAUGAUGGUUUAGGUUUUGGUUUAACAGCAGGAGGGGCAAAUACAACUGGACGAGUUGCUUCUGCCAAUUCUGCUUUCCGUGGAACGGAAUAUCCAUCGGAUUUCUUACUGGUUGUUCAGAUGAGGUUUCACCAGGUGCAUAAAGGGAGAGUGGACGAGAAAUGUCUCGUUUCUGGAUGGGUUCAUCUUUUUUGGAACCAGAUCUGAAACCAAGUGUCAAAUAAUAAUUAUACCUUUAUAUCGUAUUCCAAAAUCUUAGUGCACAACAUGUCUGAAUAUAACUAAAUUAGGAAAAUUUUUUUAAAUUGGGUAAAAUAAUUGCAUGAAAUUUUUUAUAGUAUUGCUACCUGUUUGAAAUGCUAUCACACUAAACAGUGUUACGUAAAAAAAAAAUUGAAAGAGUCAAAUUUUUAAUUAGGUGAAAAAUUUUUUGAAUUGCGUAAAAAAAUUUAUAGUACUUCCAUUUAAAUUGGUACCACACUAAACAGUGUUAAAGUAAAUUAAUUCUUUAACGUAUCAAACCUAAUCAAAUUAUAAUAUAACUAAAGGCAGAAAAAUUUACCCUAACAGGUUGAUUCUCUUGAGCUAAGCUUCAAAUAUAAAUAAUGCAUAAUGUAUAUAGUGGGGUGGGGAAAGACGGGACACCUGUUUAUUCUAUUUUCUCGUCCCAUUUGGUAGUUAACAAUGAAAAUUAAAAGAAUUAUAAAACCGUAUUCUCAUGCCUACUAUAGACUGUUGUUAAUUGUUUUAAACCUGAUCAGGAUAUUUUGAUAUUGUGUGCUAAAGGCGUCCCAUCUUUCCCUAAGCUACUAUAUACAUAAUUCAUGAACUGAUAAAGUGGAACAAAAAUUUCUGCCAAUAUAUAAGUUCCAGAUUGGGAAGUUGAUUUUUGCACAGGAGAUAAUUUUUAGGUUUUUCGUAUGUAUUGUCAAAAAAGCCAAGUUUUGACUUUUUGACUGCCAUGGACAAUUGUUGUCAGUUUUAGAUAUUUGAUGUCAGUCACAGACAAAUUCUGUUUCUAACAAACAAGUUUUGUUUGUCUUGCAAGCCAUAUUUUGUCAUAUUUCUGUCUGUAAUCCAUAUUAAAACAAAAAUUGUUUUUAAUCUUGUUUAUAUCGAACUAUUUUUUUCCAAUAAUUUUUUCAUCAUAAACACAAUCUUUACACUUGCAGUUCCCUAUUCAUGUCCUAAUAUUUAAAUUUCAGUAUUCCACAUGUUCAUACUUUUUGCUGAAAAAUCCUCUUCUUAUUCCAACUUCUUCCAGUUUAGUUAUCUCCGCUUGUGUCAUUCCGGGUUUGUGACGUUUCUUCUCACGCCGCUCAUCUUUGUUCUUCUUCCGUCCAAACAUUUUUGAACUUUUCUAUUUAGAACUAUCACAUCUGCUAAAUAAAUUGUUUAAUCAUUAAA